GGGUGUUUCGGCAGGUGGUGUCAUGGCGUCGGCCUCGGAUCGCAGCUGAGUCGCGGGCGGCGCACGCAUGCGUUUUGGAAUGGAAAGGAGGGCCGCGUAGACAGGCAGCUCGGCUUGCGAGAGAGUAAAAGUCGGUGUGCCAUUGGCAGCCAUGCACGUAGGUAGAGGAUAUCUGAAGGAGAGACCGCGUCGCUGCGCGAGUGUCUCGAAAGGACGCGGUCGACGCGAUGACGCGACUUAAAGAAGGUGUGCGAUUCAAAACAGACCGAGUGUUAUCGCCGAAGGGAUACGCCGGGAAAUGUCACAGCGCGUGAAAACGCGUUCAUUUGUUUUUUUUUUCCAUCAUCAGAAAGCUAGGAAGUGCACCAAACGACGAAGAAUCAUCAUCACCGGCAUCAUCAUCAUCAUCAUCACCAUCAUCAUCAGCAGCAGCAGCAGCUUCUUUGUGCUUGUUUUUUUUCUCUUCAAACGAUGGCUUCGUCGUCUCUAUCAGUGUUUAACGGUGGCAAUGCGACGAUGCAAUAUCGUAAGCUGGCUCUGAACCGUUAGAGGCUAGAUCAACGACGCCUCGUUCGUACGGUUUCGUUUCGGAAGAAAACGAAGAAAAUAAGAACGAAAAAAAAGAAAACAGAAAGAAACAAGAAACUGUGACGUAUUUUGUUACACGGGAAUUAUUCGACGACGAACUUCCGUUCGAGAUGGAAGGGAAGUCCUGCUGCUCUUCGGGCUUUGUUCCGUAAUUUUUCUUCCGACUAGCGAGACUGAUCCUCGGAAGAAACGAUGAGAAACAAACGGCAGAACAAGAACAGGCACAAAAAACAAGAAAGAAAGACACACCGCAGCCACCUCCGAAACAUAACGAGAAUUACUAUAAUCUAAUCUAUAUAGAACGUCGAUAAUAAUCCACCCUGUUUAACAAUAUAAACAAUACACAAAGGACAACGUUGAAAACGAUGAAACAUCUUCGCCACUGUGUCAUUGCUCCUCGAACGAUGAAGACGACGAUAAACGAUACAGUUAGAAGUUGCAAUCUGACACGUAUUUUGUCCGAUGUUGCUAAUAAAAUAUCUAUCUAAUAACAGUGAUUUUAAUAACACAAAGUUUGAAAGGAUUAAUGAAGAAGCGAGUAAAAAUUAACACACAGUAAAGUGUUUGUCAAAGGAUUAAAAGGAUGAUGUAUUACGUCGCAGUAGUAGAGUGUUCGCGCAAGCUGCGUAAAGCUGAAAGACUGAUCUCGGUAAAGUUCGGUAAAAUGAGGGAAUAAAAGAAACGAAGGAAAAAGAAAACAAAAAAAAAAAAAAAAAAAAACCAACGGAAACUCGCGUUACAAGGACGAUGAAAAACUGCACAAUUUCCCGAAAUAUGGGUGAAAUUGCGUGAAAACUUUACGAUAUAGGAACAAGUUUUUUCGGUGCGUAUGUGCGUGGUGGCCGGUACUCGUGUGUGUCGCGAUAUGUUAAUAUAAUUGUGUAAAAUUGACGAGCGUGUGCCCCGCAUAAAUAAGAUAAUGAAAAAUCAAUCGUACGAAUAGAAGGCGAAGCCCGUUCCUCGUACCUACUUGGCACUUGCACACUUGUUUAAUAAGAAGAUUAGUAGCGAGCAGCUGACCGCGCAGCGAUUCCUCUGCCAGAUCCUAAUAUCUUUGUCAUCUUCGUUACACGCCCGAGAGUCACGCAACGCAGAGCAAUGGCUAUUCCGUAGCUUUGUCGAGACAAAACCCGAAGUUUUCCCAUCCUCAACCCUCAACCCUCAACCCCUCGCCUUUCUGCUUUUUCUUCCGUUUUUCUCCCUUGUUUCUCAACGCCGAGCCCGAGUCGAGACGUGUAACAGUUUUUCUUUUUAUCUCGCUCGCCUCUGUAAUUUUUUUUUUUAUAAUCUGGCGUCUAUCUGCCGCACGAUUAAUACUUGGAUCAUAGAAACGGAUUUAAAUGUGUAAUAACUGAACUAAAUAUCUAACAAAGACGGCACGAGGAAAGCAUAAUUAAUAUAAUCGGUGAUAAUUAGUAUGUAUGUACCUACCUGCUAUCAUCAUCGGAUACACGAACUUCCGACGUGUUAUUGUACCUUGUGUAUACACGUUGUUACAAAGAUGCUGAAGUGGAUUUGACUGAUUGACCGAUUGAUUGAUUGAUUGAUUGAUUGAUUGAUUGGUUAAUCGAUUGUACACUCGUCUGUAUAUCUAUCCAUUUAUCUUUAUAUCUACUUAUCGAAUAUCUACACCUUUAAUGUACACCUAUACGUACGAUAUAAAUUACCUAUAAUCUAUUGAAAAUGAAAUGAAGAAGUAAAAACGAAAACGG